GACGAACGCUGGCGGCGUGCCUAAUACAUGCAAGUCGAACGAACUCUGGUAUUGAUUGGUGCUUGCAUCAUGAUUUACAUUUGAGUGAGUGGCGAACUGGUGAGUAACACGUGGGGAAACCUGCCCAGAAAGCGGGGGGAUAACACCUGGAAACAGAUGCUAAUACCGCAUAACAACUUGGACCGCAUGGUCCGAGUUUGAAAGAUGGCUUCGGCUAUCU
rnacentral:rRNA from 1 species